rnacentral:rRNA from 1 species
AACGAACGCUGGCGGCAGGCCUAACACAUGCAAGUCGAGCGCUCUCUUCGGAGGGAGCGGCGGACGGGUUAGUAACGCGUGGGAACGUGCCCUUCUCUGCGGAAUAGCCACUGGAAACGGUGAGUAAUACCGCAUACGCCCUUCGGGGGAAAGAUUUAUCGGAGAAGGAUCGGCCCGCGUUAGAUUAGAUAGUUGGUGGGUAACGGCCUACCAAGUCUACGAUCUAUAGCUGGUUUUAGAGGAUGAUCAGCAACACUGGGACUGAGACACGGCCCAGACUCCUACGGGAGGCAGCAGUGGGGAAUCUUAGACAAUGGGCGCAAGCCUGAUCUAGCCAUGCCGCGUGUGUGAUGAAGGUCUUAGGAUCGUAAAGCACUUUCGCCAGGGAUGAUAAUGACAGUACCUGGUAAAGAAACCCCGGCUAACUCCGUG